rnacentral:lncRNA from 1 species
GAACGGCUGGAUGCCGCCCGGCAGGCAUUAUCUGAGGCACGGAAGCAGAGCAGCUCCCUGGGCGAGCAGGUGCAGACGUUGCGAGGCGAGGUGGCUGACCUGGAACUGCAGCGGGUGGAGGCCGAGGGCCAGCUACAACAGCUACGGGAGGUGCUGCGGCAGCGGCAGGAGGGUGAGGCUGCAGCCCUGAACACCGUCCAGAAGCUGCAAGACGAGCGGCGGCUGCUGCAGGAGCGCCUGGGAAGCCUGCAGCGCGCCCUGGCUCAGCUGGAAGCUGAGAAGCGGGAGGUGGAGCGCUCAGCCCUGCGGCUGGAGAAGGACCGUGUAGCCCUCAGGAGGACGCUGGACAAGGUGGAGCGGGAGAAGCUUCGUAGCCAUGAGGACACAGUGCGGCUGAGCGCAGAGAAGGGCCGCCUGGACCGCACCCUCACGGGGGCUGAGCUGGAGCUGGCAGAGGCGCAGAGGCAGAUCCAGCAGCUGGAGGUCUGACCCCACCCAGUCCGGGACCCCAACUUCAUCCCUAGUAUGAGUGCUCAGCAAUUCCAGUGGAGCUGAUGGCCCAGCCAGCCCAGGGCCCAUAACCCCCUCCCCCAGGAGCCCUGAGCCUUCCAGUGACCCAGCGGGCCAUGGAGGGAUGGGUUCUCCCUAAGGUGUACAGAAAAGACACGAAAGGCCUGUUUGCA